rnacentral:lncRNA from 1 species
AUAGGGUUUAGGGAACCCCAGUUUUGACCAGUUAAAUUUCUCUGGUCAAUCACCAUGAACCAACUUUCUAGCUUGACAUUAUCUUGAUUUUUGGGACUCAUGGAUGAUCAUAUAUGCAUAAUAUGAUGUAAGGUGAAGUAUACCUUGAAAUAUUUGAUCAAUUUUGAAGAAACUUGUUGAAUAAGUCACAUAAGAUACCCAGAUGAAUUAGGGUUUCCAAGGCAAACCAACUCCAAACUCUUGAUGAUUUUUUGAUAAAAAUAACAUGUGAAGAUCAUGGGGAUCCAUAUAUGAUGCUUAUAGCCAUAGUAAACCAUUUCUUGAUUGAGCUCCUUACAUUAAGGGUUUUAAACCCUAGAUAUGAG